rnacentral:snoRNA from 1 species
GAACCAUGGUGUGGGCAACAUCUCAGCAAGUCCUUGUACCUCUCCCACGCAUCAUACAUGCUCUCAUCAUCAAACUAUUACGCAUUUUUGCAGUCU